rnacentral:rRNA from 1 species
GCCAGACUCCUACGGGAGGCAGCAGUGAGGAAUAUUGGUCAAUGGGCGGGAGCCUGAACCAGCCAAGCCGCGUGAGGGAAGAAGGUACAGCGUAUCGUAAACCUCUUUUGUCAGGGAACAAAGGCGGGGACUAGUCCCCGGAUGAGGGUGCCUGAAGAAAAAGCAUCGGCUAACUCCGUGCCAGCAGCCGCGGUAAUACGUAGGGGGCAAGCGUUAUCCGGAUUUACUGGGUGUAAAGGGAGCGUAGACGGCAGCGCAAGUCUGAAGUGAAAUCCCAUGGCUUAACCAUGGAACUGCUUUGGAAACUGUGCAGCUGGAGUGCAGGAGAGGUAAGCGGAAUUCCUAGUGUAGCGGUGAAAUGCGUAGAUAUUAGGAGGAACACCAGUGGCGAAGGCAGCCCCCUGGGACGCAACUGACGCUCAUACACGAAAGCGUGGGGAGCAAACAGGAUUAGAUACCCCUGUA